AGCGAACGCUGGCGGCGUGCUUAACAUAUGCAAGUCGAGUGCGCGGUUCGUAGCAAUACGAACUGGCGCACGGCGCACGGGUGAGGAACACGUGGGCAACAUGCCCUCCGAUGGGGAAUAACCCGCCGAAAGGCGGGCUAAUACCGCAUACGAUUCCGGGGACCUCGGUUCCUGGACUGAAAGCCCGCAAGGGCGUCGGUGGAGUGGCCCGCGGCCGAUUAGCUUGUUGGCGGGUAACGGCCACAAGGCAUGAUCGGUAGCCGGUCUGAGAGGAUGAUCGGCCACACUGGAACUGAGACACGGUCCAGACUCUACGGGAGGCAGCAGUGGGGAAUCUUGCGCAAUGGGCGAAAGCCUGACGCAGCGACGCCGCGUGGGGAUGAAGCCUUUCGGGGCGU
rnacentral:rRNA from 1 species